GUCUACGGCCAUACCACCCUGAACGCGCCCGAUCUCGUCUGAUCUCGGAAGCUAAGCAGGGUCGGGCCUGGUUAGUACUUGGAUGGGAGGUUGUGCUGUGCUCACACAUGUGAGAAUUGUGUGAGAAUCUGUGAACU
rnacentral:rRNA from 1 species